rnacentral:rRNA from 1 species
AGUUCGGAUUGCAGGCUGCAACUCGCCUGCAUGAAGUCGGAAUCGCUAGUAAUCGCGAAUCAGAAUGUCGCGGUGAAUACGUUCCCGGGUCUUGUACACACCGCCCGUCACACCAUGGGAGUCGGAAAUGCCCGAAGUCAGUGACCCAACCGUAAGGAGGGAGCUGCCGAAGGUGGAGCCGGUAACUGGGGUGAAGUCGUAACAAGGUAGC